UUACAAAGUGGAAAAAGUUAAGUAAACAAAUUGUCUAAAAUUAUUAUGUAUGAUCUGAAUAUCUGUACACAGUUCUCACUGUAUGGAAAUGAAUGCAGUUUCUUCCUCUUUUUUACAUGUGGACCGAAUGGAUUAAAAUGUCUUCACUGGUUAAUGGCUGCACUGGGACAUCAGGUGAGAUAAACAGUGUCUUAAUGGAGUUUGUCCUUCUUUUCCAUUUGAGUAAAUGGUGGUAAAUGCUUUUAUGAUUAGGUUACUUGUUUUUUCUCUCUCACUUCUGUUCACAUGUUUGAGCUGAAAUCUUCUACCUUGGUGUGACAGACUGUGCGGUACUUUAAAACUUGUGAAGACUGCAAUGAAAAAGGGAUUCCUCUCACCCUGUUUGGAUGAUGGUGGUCUUUCUCUACCUAAAUAUGUCUGUGUGAUGGAGGACCAGAGCUGCAGUUAACAGUGAGACCUGUGAAAGGACCCUUUGACAACCUUCCAUAUAAACUGGUAAUCAUUAUCAGCAUUAUUAGCUAAAGCUAACCUCACUACAUUAGUUUUAGUGUCUAGUGACUGAGAGAGAGUAAUGUGUGGUGUGACAUGUUGUUGGUUUUGGGUUUUCUUUGUUAUUUAUUUGUAGAUUAUAUACAUUAUAUACAUUAGACUAAUUCUCUCAUUAGUGACAACUUAUCUUCCAGUUAUAAAUCCCAUAGUCCAAAUAUCUGUAUACCUAAAUGAUACUAAUCCCAUCUUUAAUGGCUGUACUGGGAUAUAAGGUGAAAAAAAGAUGGUCUUAGACUUUGUAACUAAUGUAAAUAUCAAUGUAACUAAUUGCGAUGGGAGAUUAAAUUAAUUCAACAUUUUAUUGCCAUAUUUUGGAUGAAAAAAAACAAUAUUGUGUCUUUAUAAUCGACCUCCAAGCCUACUAAUGUUUUAAAAAAUUUUAAGCAUUUAAUGUAAGAGGCAAACUCAAAAAUGCAAUUCCUA